CUACGGGCUGCUGCAGUGGGGAAUCUUGUGCAAUGGGCGAAAGCCUGACACAGCAACGCCGCGUGCGGGAAGAAGGCCUUCGGGUCGUAAACCGCUUUCAGCAGGAACGAAAAUGACGGUACCUGCAGAAGAAGGUGCGGCCAACUACGUGCCAGCAGCCGCGGUGACACGUAGGCACCAAGCGUUGUCCGGAUUUAUUGGGCGUAAAGAGCUCGUAGGCGGUUCAGCAAGUCGGGUGUGAAAACUCUGGGCUUAACCCAGAGCCUGCACCCGAAACUGCUGUGACUAGAGUUCGGUAGGGGAGCGGGGAAUUCCUGGCGUAGCGGUGAAAUGCGCAGAUAUCAGGAGGAACACCGGUGGCGAAGGCGCCGCUCUGGGCCGAAACUGACGCUGAGGAGCGAAAGCGUGGGUAGCAAACAGGAUUAGAUACCCCUGUAGUC
rnacentral:rRNA from 1 species